CGUUUAGUAAAUUAAUUGUUGUUCCUGUAAUUGUGGAUUCUCAACGAUUCCGGUGAAAACGACUCCAACAGUUGUUCUCAAUUGGAUAUUUAUUAAAACAUUAUUAAACGAUGCAAGUCUCCGGUGAGUUACCAUUACCUACGUUAUUGUAUUUAAUCUGUCAUCCGGUGUUAUCAAUUUGUCGUAUAAUGUUUACGACGCUCACACAGAGAUAUGUUAUAUAAAAUACAGACAAUGUGUUGACUGUUGAUAUAGAUAAAUGUGUAGAGAAAUGAUCACUCGUAUUAAUAAGAAAAUUAGCUAUAUGAAAAUGUUAACGUUUAUAUUAAUAAAAAUAAAAAUAUAUCUCUAAUACGUAAAUUAUUAAUUUUUCUUGCGCUUAA